rnacentral:snRNA from 1 species
UUACUCCGUGAAUCGGAGG